GCCAGCUUAGCUCAGUGGUAGAGCAGCUGAUUUGUAAUCAGCUGGUCGUCGGUUCGACUCCGACAGCUGGCUCCA
rnacentral:tRNA from 1 species